UAUAAAUUCAUUAUUAUUACUGCGACUACUACUAUAUGAUUACUACUACUACUACUAAGCAGAAGAAGAGGAAGAAGAAGAAGAAGAGGACCAUUCUUAGAUGAAUACACAGUGGGAGUGCUUGGGAGGGAUGCUAGGUGAUUUACUCUUUCAAGCAGAUGGCCGCAGAGGGAGAAGACUAAGAAUGGACUACAUUGACUCUAAAAUGCUGAAUAAGAGGUAUCGUGUUUGUGUUCACUUGAAGGAAACCCCAACUGGUGAAUACCUCCAUUGUUCAAAGCCUUUAAGACGCUAGCCAUUUAAUUUCACCCCGAGCUGAGUCCCAGGAGCCAUGUGGGUAUGAUGUGGGACGUGAUUGGAAACAAUCUCUUCUGUGGUGAACUGUGC
ensembl:lncRNA